UUGGAUCACCUCCUAACAGGGAGACAAACAAUGAUUUUGAUGUCUGAGUAUUUUAUUCUUAGGCCGAAAUCCUGUCACCUUAGGUCGAUCGGUACCUCAGUUUUGAAGUUAAGAAUCAGCAGUAAUGUUGAUUGCUUGAUGGAAAUUUUCAGUUCCUAAACUUUGUCUAGGUCACACCCCUGAAGGGAUGAGACUCCUGGGCCAUUAGCUCAGGUGGUUAGAGCGCACCCCUGAUAAGGGUGAGGUCCCUGGUUCAAGUCCAGGAUGGCCCAUUCGGUGUUGGGGGUUUAGCUCAGUUGGUAGAGCGCCUGCUUUGCAAGCAGGAUGUCAGGAGUUCGAGUCUCCUAACCUCCACUGACCGAACUUUAUCCCCGCUCCAUGUAAUGGAGUUGAGCUCGAUUGGAGUGUGAUUUAGAUGUGUCCGCUGGAUGACCCCAGCUUCCUGUCAUUCCAAGUUUUAGGUUAAAAGCCUUGAAUUUGGUUGAUAAGAUGCUGGGCUCAGAUCAGAUGAUCAAGCGAUUGAUGAUUUGAUUUGAAGUUCUAGCAGAACCUUGACAACUGCAUAGGUGAAGUCUGGAAAGAAUAAAGCAUCUUUAUGGAUGCAUCAUUUUUUCGUGUGAACGCAUGAAAGAGUGAUGUUAAUUCUAAAGCAAGAGCCGAGACUCCAGUAUGUUCUUUCAAAUGUGUCGAGCAUUUGAGAGUUUGAUUUUAAUUUCUAAUUUUAGAUUCUAAUUUUAGAAAUUAGAAAAAUCUGCUUCAACAACAGCAAGCGUGCUGGAGAUACAUUGGUCAAGCUACAAAGGGCUCACGGCGGAUACCUUGGCACACAGAGGCGAUGAAGGA
rnacentral:tRNA from 1 species